rnacentral:rRNA from 1 species
AACGAACGCUGGCGGCAUGCCUAACACAUGCAAGUCGAACGAGCCCUUCGGGUCUUGUGGCGCACGGGUGCGUAACGCGUGGGAACCUGCCCUUAGGUUCGGAAUAACUCCCCGACAGGGGUGCUAAUACCGGAUAAUGUCUUCGGACCAAAGAUUUAUCGCCUUUGGAUGGGCCCGCGUUGGAUUAGCUAGUUGGUAGGGUAAAAGCAUACCAAGGCGACGAUCCAUAGCUGGUCUGAGAGGAUGAUCAGCCACACUGGGACUGAGACACGGCCCAGACUCCUACGGGAGGCAGCAGUGGGGAAUAUUGGACAAUGGGCGAAAGCCUGAUCCAGCAAUGCCGCGUGAGUGAUGAAGGCCUUAGGGUUGUAAAGCUCUUUUACCCGGGAUGAUAAUGACAGUACCGGGAGAAUAAGCUCCGGCUAACUCCGUG